GCUGGGCACAGUGGCACAUGCCUGUAAUCCCAGUGACUUGGGAGGCUGAGGCAGGUGGAUCACAAAUUCAAAGCCAGCCUCAG
rnacentral:sRNA from 1 species